CAAGACAAAUACAAGAAAGCAUCAUACCCUGAAGCAUGAAGACCUCAUUCAUCAAGCUCAGCUGCAGUGUGCUAAAGAAAGCAAACCCCGCACAGAUUCCAAUGAGAGGAUCACCAUUCGUUUCAAUGUCAGCUAUACCCUGGAUUGAUAUUUUUCCCACAGGGAAGGUGUGGGGAGAGGGAAUCCUAUAUCUACCAUACCAUUCAAAGUAUACGUAUCUGUGUCGAUAUAUACAAAAUGCCAAUUGACAGGGGGGUUUGGGGGUUUUUUAAAGCAUCCAUAUGAUUUCAGUGUGGUUUACUAAACUUUGAACAAAUUGAAAACAGAUAAAAGUGUAAUAAAGUCUCAGAGUGUUAAAAACAUUUAUGAUAAUAUUAAAAGGUGCUUUAAAAUGCCUGGGUGAAUUUUAAAAGUGGGGUGUUGCUGAUAGCUACAAGAUAGUGAAGGUGAUUAUUUGGGGAAGGGCUAGAGAUGUGAAGGCAUAGGGGGGGGAAUGAAUUGGGGGGUCACUGUCAUCCCCCCCCCCAAUUUUCUGUUGUUGGUUUUCCUUACUUCUCUAUGAAGGGCAGCGCCCAAUGACCACAGCAUGCAGACAGGUUGAUAGUGCUCCAUCAAGUACUUUGCUCCCAAGAUGCUUUUAGAGACUUAAAAGUAUGCACCAGCAGUUCAAAUUGGGUCCAGAAGCAUUUCCGAAUUGCUCUCAGAAGCAGUCUCUAUAUAUAAUAAUGCAGCAAUCAGGAUAGGAUCUCAACAAAGCUUUCUGGUAACAUGGUCCCAAGCUAUUUACAUGUUAAAACCAGUAUUUUAAAUUGGAAAUGCAGUGGAAGCCAGUUGAGCUGACAAAACACAGGUGAAAUAUGGUCAAACCACUAAGUUUAUUUAGUGAAUCAGAAGCAGAUUUGAACCAAAUACUCCCUAAAUUGGCCCUGAGUUGUCUGUUGCACUACACCAGUUCGUAAGCGCUGCAAGAAUUUUUUCUUGACACCUCUUCUUCCCCUAUGAAGCCUGAAAAUUCAUAUGAACCAUCACCUUCUAAAUCCAACACAAGUGCUUUGUCCCAAGCUUCCCAUCUUCCCAUGGCCCAAUUCAAUUCCACCUGCCUCCCCUUAUUCCUUUUAAUAUCCCUGACCUGUAAGACUUUUACUUUUACUUCUCUAAAACUAACCCAAGCCUAGUCAUGUUUACUUGGAAGUAGGAUCCUGGAUUUCAAAGGGACUUAUUUUCAUGUAAGUGUGCUUAGGACAGCAGCCUAAGUCAACCAAAGUUUGUACAUCAUGAAUCUUGGUUGGUCUUCAUAAAGGUACUGUUUUACUCUCACUGUUUAAAUUUUGGCUGCAGUUGUUAUCUUUUCUUACUAGACAUUUCUAUUAACAGGGCUUUAGCUCAGGGGGAAAAACACCCACAAAGAAAAUUCAACUGACUAAUUCAAAGCUCCAGUUUGGAAUGUAUUUCAGGCUAUUUAUGACAGCAGCCUGUUUUUAAAAGUGCCUGUUAUUUUGCAUCAGAGUUUGUCAUGCUUCUUACAGCCAUUAUGAAAAGCCUUUCAAACCCUCCUCUUCUUAAUUACCACAAAGAACUUGGAUGCAUUUCCUCGCUCUGAUCUGCUAAUUUAAACCUCAUCCAUGGAAAUGAGCAACAAUGGACUCAAGGAAAUUAUAUUCAACAAUUGAAAUCAACAAGUUAAGCAACUGAAACGGAUGCCAGCUUCUCCUUGGUCAGCUAACUAGGAUCAAAGAGUGAGUAGAUCAAUUGUAAGGUCAUUAAAGGACAAGAGAAAACACAAUGGAUAUUGAUGUCAGAGAAAACAAGUCUAAUUGGCCACACCUCCAUUGCUGAUCAAGUGAGAAAAGACCCACCUCAUGCCCUUGGACACGGAGGUCAGCUGAUAUAUGAGUUCUACAUGCCUGAUUAACUACUUGCUUGCCUAGCAGGUUUCAGAUGACUAGCACUUCAUAAUUGAUCCCAGCGGGACCACUGGGUUCAUUUAAUCCAAGACAAUUAUUGAAUAUUUGAAUGUGGUAUUCACUUGUCGUUUCUGGCUUACAGACCAUACAUGAUGCACAGUGGCAUGAUUUUAGAUCUUUGUAGAAAGGGAGGCAAAGAGAUCAGAGAAAGAUGGGUGACAGUUAACAGGGAUUUUUUAAAAAAUAGUCCUCUCUAGAUGUUCCCCCUCAUGUGCUCCCUACUUCAUUGGUAGUGGGGGAGCAGGAAAGUGCUAAUUUUCCCUGCCCCCCUCUGCCACUUUCCCAGUGGCCUCCCUGCCCACCUGCAUGGGGCUGAACACCUGUAGCAGAGAGUCAUCUCCACACAAGGAAGUUCCUGCACUAUUUAGAACCCUGAUUGUACAUGGUCUAAGUCUACAGACCAUGUCCCAGGUUUUGGUCUGAAGGCACAUGUGAUCUGGCUGAAGCUAAGCAGGUCCGGGACUCUGGACCAUUCUCUGAAUGGUGAACUGCCAAGUAUGUGUGCCACAAGUAUAUCACCUUGGGUUCCAUGAAAGAAAAAAGGCAGGGUAUAAAUGAAAGGGUAUAAAUGAGUAGAUAAAAUGCAGAAGUCCAUUCCCAACUUGUGCAGCAGGGAGAGCAGGGCCAGUGAGUGAGCUCAUUCUUGCUCUCCACAGUCCUCACUCUGCAGGGCAAUUACACAAGGCCUGAAUGCCUAGAGAGAGCUUAUGUCAUCAAUAGUUCAAAAUGAAUUUCAGCAGCAAAAAAACAGGUUUUGCCCUAUAUGCUACCUAGAAGGUGGCACAGCCUUUCUUUCAAAGGUAACACUUCCUGAACUUCACUGAUAACAAGCAUUACCAUGAAAGUCAUGGACUCCUAAGCUUCUGUGAAGAGCAACAUUCUUGUUCUUUACCCCAGGUUGGCAGUGGAGGGGGAGAUUAGCCUGUGGGCGCUUGUAUAGGACAGACAGAAGUGCCUGUCUUGGAAUGAAUGGCCUGGCUGUGUGGCAAUGGCUUGGCAUAGAGGCAGCCCACUGCUGGGUGACAAGCUUUCCAGCACCUAAAAAGUGGGUCUCUGUGUAUGUGUCGGCCAGACUCAAGACUCAAGAACCAUCCCUGAUAAAUAGGGGUCAUCACUAGAGCAGAUGGAACCAGCAAUAGGGACAAAAUAUGCAAUCCUGCAGGGCUGGCCCUACCAUUAAAGAGAGUGAGGCAGUGUCCUCAGGCUGCUGAAUUUGGGGUGUUGUGAAAAAGCAGAAAAUUGUUAAUUGAUUGCCAUGGUCUUUAUACAUACAAAAUCUGAUGACGUUUAGCAUAAAUGAAUCUCUUCUCAAUGCGAGCAACUGAGGCUGAAUUUCAGAGGCUCGAAUCAGCAGUUGUUAUAACUAUAAAACCAGCACUAUUUAGAGGUAUCUUCAUUGAUCCCAGUUUCAACUUUGUAUAAGUGUAUGUAGUGGGGGUGGUAAUUGAACAUAUUUUAAAUUAUCUCAUUAACCUCCUGAUUACAUAGAGAAGGGGAGAAGGCUUUGAACAUUAUGUUGUUUUAGCCAAAUUGGUGACGUAAAAGGAAUCAGAGAAUCACAAAUGCAGCAAAUUAGGGAAAACUCUAAACAUCUAUAUCCUCUCCUAUUGCAACAGACAAAGAAGAGAUUGAAUUGAUGGAGACUGUGAAAUACAAUUUACUGGUUAAUUUAUCAGGUCAUGUUUGCUUUGUGGCACAAAGUUCCAUCAGAGGAGCUGUUUUGCCUGACAUUGGAACCUCACUACUCAGUAGCAUUGAUUUAAAUGGUGUGUCUCUGGCAUAAUUUGUAAUGUCUACCAAAAAAAAGAGGUCUGAACAGAGAUGGAAAGAUUUCUUUGCGAUGGGCUUUGUAACACAGGGGAGGACCUAUCAAUUUAGUUAUAUAAUGUUAUUUUCUUUUUGUUCAGUAUCCUAUGGACCUGUAGUUAAUAUGACAAUAACGGGGACUGUAUGCAAAAUAAUAAUAAAAAGCACUUCCAGAAUUUCUGCACAGUGUGGGGCUGGGAUCAUGCCAUUCUGUUACCAUUUGUUUGCAAAUUUUACGUUUUGAUAAGUGCCCCAAGAUGUACACUCACACUGUGCAGCCUGUACAGUACACCACAAUGCAGUUGGGCAGAAUUUAGCCUUAUAGGAUCUACUAAAAAGACAAAACAAACCAACAGGAACCUUGUGGUCUACUAACCAGAGCCAGGUGCAAAACAGUGCUUAGGAGGGAGGAUGUUAGCUAAGAAUUAAGAGCUAUGUGCCUAUUACCCCAGCUCCAGUGCACUCCCAGCAAUGGCGGCUGAAGCCAAGUACACAUGUUGUUAGCCAUCUGUAUCCUGCAGUUUCUUGAGAGAUAAUGCUGGUUUAAUGUGCUUUCCCUCAGACCAGCUUCCAUCUGAUUCCAUAACGCAGACCGCCGUUAAGCUAAGGUGUGUAAAUUUUAAGCAUCCCUUGUGCUUGCACAGAUGAGGGCUUCGUUGAACAGGUGUUCAGAGAGCUGCAGACAAGGGGAAGCAAAUCAGGUAAUGGUGUGUACAGCAACAUAAAAUGCAAUGUGAACUGCAGGAGGAGGAAAUGACCUCACGUUCUACAGCCCCUUGGUCAGGAUGCUUCAGGCCACAGGAC